CGCGCCUUUAGUUUUAGGUUUCAUUUUCCCCCUACCCCAAAUGCUUCCGCCCCCCCUCUCUGUCUCUCAAUUUCUCCCUCACUACAACUGGCUGCCACCGCCGUCGGCCACACCAUCCAGUGGCUACGAAACGCCCCCGACCCGAACCCAGUUUCUCCCUCUCUCCCAAACCACCGGCCACCACGAAGCGGCAGCGCCGACGCAAACACCAUCUGCCUCCGCCCACCACCAGCGACGCCCACCCACCCACUGUGGCACUGUUGGGUUUUAGGUUUUGAGCUGAAUUUUAUUUCUGAAUGGACGCCAAGAGGUUCAUCCAAUUGGUCGAAGAGAAAAAGAAGAGAGCUUUGGAGAAGAAGUAACCCCCUUUGAAAUGGGAGCAGAAGCUGGAAGCCGCUGACUCAGGCGGUGACAAAUGUGUAGUCUCAUUUUUUUUUCGCCUUUCGUGUAAUUUAUGAAAAUAUAUGAGUGCACUGCAUUUACUGUAAUUUUGCAACCUUGUUGAAUAGAAGGGAAAUAUUUUGCUUUUGUCUA